GCCCCAGCCACCAGCCUGAACCUGUGGCACUGCUUGCUUAGUGGGUGAGCACAGGCUUGAUCCCAACAACGCAUGCUGCGCUCUGAAGACACCACCUGAGAGACUUAAUUACACAGCACAGUUAUUCUCCAAACAACAGGGAAGUAUCCUUCCCAGACUUCACAGGUUAAGGCCUCUAGAGUGAGUCUGCCAGGCACAGUGGUUCACGCCUGCAAUCCCAGCACUCCGGGAGGCCAAGGCGAGCAAUCGCUUGAGCCCAGGAUUCAAGACCAGUCUGGGUAAUGUGGCAAAAAACACAAAAUUAGCUGGACAUUCCAGCCUGGACAACAGAGCAAGACCCUGUCUGAAAAAAAAAAAAAAAAAAGUGGGUCUGGAGUCCUGCCCACCACUUACACCACUGCAAACUCGAGCCCCCACCAACGCACACAGCACAGCAGCUCCACGCAUUCCAACCCACCUUCUUCGCAGCAGCCACCUUCCACCUCCUCUCCUGGGCAAAGUCUGUGGCCAUCCACUGCAUCUCCUCCAGCAGAUAGUCCCAGUGGGACUUGGGGCGUGGGGCCUCCUGCAGCUUUGGCAGACGCCUCUGGGACCACAGACCUGCUUUCCUCAGCUCCGCAAUGCGCUGAUGCACCUGGUUCUCCUGCAGAUGAUAUAUGGGGGAUGGUGGGGUCAGCAUGUGAUGAGUGUGUUCCACCAACUCAGACCCCAGAAAUUUGAAGCCCUACUAUGCAAAAGGCUCAGUCAGGCACUAAGAAAGAGAGAAAGCACAAGGUCCCAGUUUAAUAUCAAAGGUAAGAUUCGAACACAAAGGUCAAAGUGGUUCUAGGAGAGGUCUAGGAGCAUGUGACCCUUCCAGGAGCCUUAGAAGAAGCUGGAGCAAUAGUCCUGCCCCAGCUCUAUAAAACAGACUAAAACUUUAAAACCUCAUGUUUCUACCAAAGUGUUUACAUGGGAAACCAUAGGAUGUCUGGAAUUUGCUUCUAAAUAAUCUGGAAAGGAGUGGGAUAAAUGAAAUGAGACUAGCUGCAUAUUGAUCACUGUGAUAAAAUCAAAUAAUGGGGAACAUGGGGUUUAUGACACUCUAUUUUGAUACACAUUUCUUUUAAUUCCCCUAAUGAAGUUGAACAAAAUAAAUGCUUA
rnacentral:lncRNA from 1 species